UACAGAGACUGCAAGCGUUAUUCGGAUUCACUGGGCGUAAAGGGUGCGCAGGCGGCCGGGUGUGUCAGAUGUGAAAUCCCGAGGCUCAACCUCGGAACUGCGUCUGAAACUACUCGGCUAGAGUACUGGAGAGGGUAACGGAAUUCACGGUGUAGCAGUGAAAUGCGUAGAUAUCUGGAGGAACACCGGUGGCGAAGGCGGCAUCCUGGACCGAUACUGACGCUGAGGAGCGAAAGCCAGGGGAGCAAACGGG
rnacentral:rRNA from 1 species